UACCUGAUUCAGCGGCGGACGGGUGAGUAAUGCCUAGGAAUCUGCCCGAUAGUGGGGGACAACGUUUCGAAAGGAACGCUAAUACCGCAUACGUCCUACGGGAGAAAGUGGGGGAUCUUCGGACCUCACGCUAUCGGAUGAGCCUAGGUCGGAUUAGCUAGUUGGUGAGGUAAUGGCUCACCAAGGCGACGAUCCGUAACUGGUCUGAGAGGAUGAUCAGUCACACUGGAACUGAGACACGGUCCAGACUCCUACGGGAGGCAGCAGUGGGGAAUAUUGGACAAUGGGCGAAAGCCUGAUCCAGCCAUGCCGCGUGUGUGAAGAAGGUCUUCGGAUUGUAAAGCACUUUAAGUUGGGAGGAAGGGCAGUAAGCUAAUACCUUGCUGUUUUGACGUUACCAACAGAAUAAGCACCGGCUAACUCUGUGCCAGCAGCCGCGGUAAUACAAAGGGUGCAAGCGUUAAUCGGAAUUACUGGGCGUAAAGCGCGCGUAGGUGGUUCAGCAAGUUGGAUGUGAAAUCCCCGGGCUCAACCUGGGAACUGCAUCCAAAACUACUGAGCUAGAGUACAGUAGAGGGUGGUGGAAUUUCCUGUGUAGCG
rnacentral:rRNA from 1 species